rnacentral:rRNA from 1 species
UUCCUACGGGGGGCAGCAGUGGGGAAUAUUGGGCAAUGGGCGAAAGCCUGACCCAGCAACGCCGCGUGAAGGAAGAAGGCUUUCGGGUUGUAAACUUCUUUUACCAGGGACGAAGGACGUGACGGUACCUGGAGAAAAGGCUCCGGCUAACUACGUGCCAGCAGCCGCGGUAAUACGUAGGGAGCAAGCGUUGUCCGGAUUUACUGGGUGUAAAGGGCGUGUAGGCGGAGACGCAAGUCAGGAGUGAAAUCCCCGGGCUCAACCCGGGAACUGCUUUUGAAACUGCGUCCCUUGAGUAUCGGAGG